UUAUAGAAAAUCCAUUUUUGUUGUUGAGAAAAUCCAAAUUUUCCCUCUUUUGAGGAAUGCCCACACUUUAUUAAUUCAAAGCAAAAUUCAAAGGGGUCAUGUGUAGUUAAUAGCCACGAGAGGGGUCAUUUGGUUAGGAAAAUCCAAUUUUUUUCCUAGACCAGGACCAGAGAAACGACGGCCCAAGAGUCACCGACGGCCCAUCGAGGCCGAAACGCUCAACUAAACCGGCCCCAAAUCGAUCCACCCUUCUCUCCCCGCCGCGGCGCAACUCCUCUGGCGGCCGGCGAGCGAGCAGAGAUGAACGCCGCUGCUCCCGCCUCCCCUCUCACCUUCUUACUCUUCCUCAAUCCAAUCUGCCGGCGGGGAAUUUCGGAUUCCAGCGCGAAGGGGCGCAUCGGUGAUCCUUCGGCGCGCGGCUGCGAUAGAGCUCGUCCCUCCUCUUCCACGGCCACCAAUGGCGCAGGUCCCUUUCCUCCUCGAACGCUCGCUCAGGGUGCUCCGUUCCUCAGCCGGUGAACCCCCGUCUCUUCCACGGCAGCGGCACAGGCCGCAUCUUGAGCCUCCCUUCUCUUCCACGACAAGCGGCACAAGCAACAUGUUUUCUAGGGUUUUGUUUUCUUUGUUUUUUUUUUUUUUGUAAAUUAAUUAGUCUGGUAGAUUUGGAGAGAAGGGAAUUGCAGAUUUGGAAAGGAUGAACAUCCAAAUUAAGCAGAUUUGAUUUGUCUUUCUGUUCUGAACAUGGCACUGAACUUCACAAAUUUACCUUUCUGUUCUGAACUGCAGAUUUGUCUCAUUGCCAACAUAUCUGCAUAAGCUACAUCCAAAUUAAGCAGUACCAGUCCCCAAAAAAAUUACUUGGCCAGUGAAAGAAGCCAGUAUUCUGCGUUUCUGUUCGAUCUACUACAGGAGGAUUUGGAAGGAGUGAUGGAUGUUCUCUUGGAUUCAAGCAAUGAUGGGACGAUUGCUCUUUCAACAUAUUCUAUUAGCAAGGAUGGCAAGUGAAAGUGGGAGCGACUGGAUCACUAUUCCUAUCAUGCAUUGUAGACAUGAUGCAUUGAACAUAUGUCUGACAAUUGUCCUUGCAGGAUUCGAUUCGGUACAAGACCAUCACCGAGGCAGACGUGACAAGGGGUUCAUCGUGCCAGGCACCUCGGUGCUGCUUCGCUUCGGUGCGACGGCGGCAGCGGCUACAGAAACAGCUAUGGUGAGCUCCUCUCCUCACCUCCAGUGGUUGCUCUGAGCUCGACUUGGCCAUUGUGCCAUGGCUAUGUCUGGUUAGGCUGCUACAGGUACGCCCUUGUAUAAUGAUGGUGCUACUCUUUGUUUGUUUGUUCGUUUCUCUGCCUUGCUGCCUGCCUGAUAGAAACCUGCUGAAUAUAUGUCCUUGAGCAGCAACUGAUAGAAUAUAUAUAGGUCAUGUUCAUGUUGAUUUCCAUCCCACUCAAAGUCUGAAACACUUCUUCGCACUCAACAACUAGGCAGCACACCUGAAUAUAUAUGCACAUAUGUAUGUAGUUUCCCACUACACACAUGGAGCAGUCUUGUUAGUUUCGGGAUGUAGUAUCACCACUUAAUUUGUUCCCUGCUUGCCUCCAUGAAAUUCGGACUGCAUAUAUGUGGUCUAUGUACCAUCCAUGAUAUGCACUCGCAUCCUCAACUCAUGUUGGUACUGUUUUAUUUCCAAGGAUGCCUUCCUACUCCUGCUAGUUUAGUUGUCGUGUGGCCGUGUUUCCAGGAUGAUGAAAUUCCGAAUAUCUGGUUGUGGCGUGUUGCUCUCUUUUGACACUAAUUUUAUAUCACUACAAUUGUUCAUACAACAUGGAGGGCCGGUACGGAUGCCAUGGAUGCUGCAAGGUUGCUUGUCCUAGUAUGUCUUGCUUGCCCAUUUAGUAUGUAUAUCACUUCAUUCAAUUAAGGAAGGCAUUUCCGACAGCGUCAUGGUAAGAAGUCGUCUCAAGAAGAGUGGCGCUAGAAUAACCAUAGAGGUUAAUAGAAGGAAGCGGGCGAGCACAGAAGCUAUAGGUUGAGUUGGAGGCGGUGCGUUACAAACAGAAUUAGUCAUGGUAUUCGAGGGAGAUGGCGCAUUAGAAGAAUCCACAACACGUUGACGACCAAUGCGGUAAGAAGAGGAUGAGGGGGAAUCAAAGGGAAGCCUCAAGGGACGAGAGAGGUUUGAGGCAGUCUCAGGUAAUGAACAAGGUGAGGAAGCCAUGGGUGACGAUGGCAUGGGAUCUCAACACUAGUACAGGAAGACACGGUGGGAGGGGUGGUGUGAUAGGUAUAUCUGGAGAAGUGAGGAAAUAAAUAUCGUCAAUGGGAGGAUGGACGUGGAUAGAAAGGAUGAGACUCAUCAACUAACGAGCUGCCUCAAGAAAGUGAUCAUGCUUCGCUCAUCAACACCAGUUUGAGCAUGAGCACCAGGAGAAGAGAAUUGAGCAAGUGUGCCUUGCUCAGCAAGGAAUCCGCACAUCAUAUGAGAGAAAUACUCAUGAGUAGAAUCUUCACCGAAGACACUGAUAGGAGUGGAAAACUGGGUAUGAACCAUGGCGAUAAACUUCUUACAGAUAGAUAAGAUCCCAUUACAAGAAGAUAUAAAAUAUAUCCAUGUAUGUCGAGAGUAAUCAUCUAUAAAGAUAAUAUAGUAGCGAUGGCCUCCUAUCGAGGCAAAGGAAGCUAGAACCCGAACAUUAGAGUGAACAAGAUCGAAAGGAUGUUGAUACACCGUCUCGCUAUGAGGAUGAAGUAACUGAACCUGUUUACCAAGCUGACAAACUUGACAGUUUAAAGACACAACACCCAAGACAGAUCCAAGAAAACCACGUCAAACUAAAGAUGAGGGACGAGAGCCAUACAAGUGACCAUCGGUGUUGCAACAUAGAGACGGUAGCCGAGGAAACAGAGGCGAAGAGCCGAAGAGACUAGCGGCGGUGUCAGCAUGGCAGGUGAAGCCAGACAAGCUCCCGGAGGUCCUGGGAAUCACUACGCCGAGGGCCAACACAAAGUAGGGAACCCGUGUGGCGAUCCUAAUCUAACCACCUAAAAUGAGCAAACGAAGGAACAUGACAAGACAAAGUGCUAAUAGUGCCUCGACUAUUGAAUGGGAUGGAAAUAUCAUCAGCAGUAAGAACAUGAACAUGAGAAUCUAUAGGUUUGAAUGGAGGACAAACCGGAAUAAUCAUGAGUCAUAUGAAAAGACGCUCCAGUAUGAAGGAUCCAUAGAAAGAUGUGCUUCUAGCCUAGAAAUGAGUUAAGUGCCCAACCUCGUGGUAGCGAACUUAUAUGAUACUUUUUGGACAUUUCUAAUAAUAGCAUUUUGGCCUAUGGAAUAGUGUCUUAUAGAAUACCACGAGGGAAAACUGGGACGAGCAACUCAGCAGGGUUCCUAUUCGCAAGUUAAAGUGAAGAAAAGACAGAGGAUGGCAAGGGGGUGCUGCUCCUGACAGUGUUUUCAUUGCUUCCACGUACCUCUCUUGCAUUUUCCAUUUCUUGCCGACCCGACUUGGCAUCCUUCCCCUGUUUGUGGGUUGUGUGUCACGGACUUGAUUCCGCAUUCCACGUUCCCUUGCUGGGCGUCCCUGGCCUUGGUGACAGGUAGCGUCGUGCUCCUGGGUGCUUUGCGUCCUCGCGUAAGACGGAGACGGUGCCAACUGCCGUGCUCUUGCUCCGCCAGUGGUGGUGCCUGAGCUUGUGGCUAUUGGGACAACCUUCAGGGGAGCACGGGAUGUAGGAACAAGGCAGCACACAAAGCAACUUGCAGCUAGGUAAAGGAUUCCUUGCCGGACUGGCGUGUAGUGGAGAGUACACGGGAGGUGUGGUUAAAGGGUGAAAACGCUGUUGGGAGUGUACUGCCGAUGUCGUCAGUCUUUGGACCCAGAGCUGAGCGAAGAGGGGAUGGCGAUAAGGAAGCGGGGAAGAUGGGAAGAGGGAGCUGGAAGGAGAAAGACAUCAUCCGCCGUGACGGUGAACGGUUGUGGGCAUGGUACCUAUUGUGUUGUGUGGGUGUGUUUGGUUGUUAUUGGCAAGGCACUCUCCUAUGUGUGUUGUCGUCAUGUAGUCCGGGAUCCUUUGUGUGGCUCAUUGGUGGUGAAAGCCCUGCACUUACUAUGGUUGGCGUCGAUAACGAUGGCGACCUUGCCCGUUGUUUCCUUCUUGAAGGCCUCGUUGUGGUGCUACGUCCCUCGCCGUCGUGAUUGUCCAGUUGGCAAGGUUGAUUUGUAGUCAGGCUUUAUGGAUGUUAGAGCGGCGACUUUAGACGGUGGUUGUAUGUCGAGGCAGCGACAUUGGUUACAGGUUAAUGGGUAGGUCAGUGGAUCUACAUUGCAUGGGUGGCGUCUAUAUGCUACGAGGGUAGCGAGUUCAUCGGCACGGCCAAAGUGAUCUGUGGGUUUGGUCUUGGUGGCGUCUAUAUGCUACGAGGGUAGCGAGUUCAUAGCAUAAAGAAGGAACACGACAAGACAAAGUGCUAAGAGUGCCUUGACUAUCGAAUGGGAGGGAAGUGCCAUCAGCAGUAAGAACAUGAACAUGAGAAUCUAGAGGGAUGAAUGGAGGACAAACUAGAAGAAUCACGAGUUAUAUGAAAAUACGCUCCAGUAUCAAGGAUCCAUCGAAAUAUACCCAACUGUGUAAAAAGUGGUCUAACACACUGAAGUCUCGUAAUCUCCAGCAUCGUGAGGGAUUCAACUGAAGAGGUCAACGAAGAAGCAUCAGGCGACGAGGAAUCAGAAGCAGUAAUUAGGUAUCGAAGUUGUGCAAUCUCUUGCGCGGUGAAGGACACUACUGAAAUGGUCGACGUAGAUUCACCAGAAGAGUGGCCGCCUCCACCACCUGUGUGAGCCGCUAGAGGUGUAGUUCGACAAAUACCGGUUGUAGAAGUCGGUGGAGGAGACGGCACCGCAAGCACAAAAGCACCAAGCGCGAUGAGAAGGCGCAUUUGUGAGACGUAGCUGGUGGAGUGAUGUGCAACAACGCUAUCGACGUAAGCCUUGAGGGGACGCUGUGUAGAGUUACCAUCACCAUCUGCAGAGGUCACGAGAGGUGUCACUAUGGAGCCACCACCACUGCCUGCAAAAGCCAUGGGGGUAGCAACGUCAUAGGUGAGGAACACGAAGCACCGGCAGACCGAUAGACGACGCAUGUGUGAGAUGGGGUAAGCAUAGGAACACCCUAAGAAAUCAUCGGACAACAAGAGACUGUCCAAAUUGUGCCUGUUUUUUCUUCUACCGUUUUCUUUUACAGAACAAUCUUAGAGAGCUUAGAGCAUCAAAGAGCAGCGUAUAGGGCGCGCAUAGUAGGGGCAUGGUCCCCAAAGAAGCCAAUUGGCGGGAUGGGUUGCCGAGUCUUAAGGUUCGGGUGCGAAAUGCUGCAUGUAGCAAAAGAGGGAGUUGGGACUGUGACCUGCAGCAGCGGACGUGUCAAAGAUCGCGCCUCUUGGAGCGGUGGGACGCCGGCCUCCCGGAGAUGGUAGUGAGGCACUGACCUUCUGUACAUGGCGACGAGGCGCGGCCUCCUGAAGAUAUUGAAGAGGCACCUUGCGAUUGCGAGCAUGGCGGAAGUGGCCAGAAGGGGCGAGAGAGAUGGAGGCGGAGGCACCGAGCUCUGAAGUGCACGACGGGCGCGGCGGCCUGUGGGAAUUCACCGAGGCGGUAGAGGCCUAGAUGAAGGAGAGACGAGGCCGACCUCUUGGAGAUGGUGGCAAGGCGCGGCUUCCUGGAGCGGUUGGCACCAACCUCCUUGGGAUGGAGGUGAGGCAUCAGCCUCCUAGAGAUGGCGAUGAGGCGUGACCUCUUGAAGAUGUUGGGGAGGUAGCUUGUUGCGAGCGUGAUGGAGGGAGAGGUACUGAGCUCAUAAGGGCACGACAGGAGUGGCGACUUGUGGGAAUUCUCCGGGACGGGAUAGGCCUGGAUGACAAAGGAGAGACAACCCCGACUUGGAGGCAGUGAAGCGAUGACAAGAAAAAUUGAUCGAGGUGUACUAGCCUGAGAAAAAAUGAUCUGGAACUUAGAUCGAGAUCGACAGAGAGGAGCACGAGUUGUGUGUGUGAGGAAGAAAACCUAGCUCUAAUACCAUGUUAGGAAUAUGCAACUUGUAUUCCAAGGUGGCCAUAGGCUAAACACGUACAUAUGUGAUGAAGAAAGCCCCUUGUAUAAUGUGAAAAUACAAAGGGCACAUGACUAUAAUAUACUAUUACUCAUAACAUGUUGAACACCCGGGCAUUGUGUACCUUCCAUAUGUCUAAAAUGCGAGCAACAUUGUUGACUCGAGUCCACAGUGCGUCGAAGGCGGAAUGGCCGCCUGACAGCCAAUCGACCAGUUGGAAAGGGAAACGUCGCCCCCUUGGGGCAGUGCUGAUGUUGAAGAGGUGAUCACCAAUUUCUAGAUUGUCGUCAAGGAGAGCUGGUGAAUAGGUGUUGAGCUCUCUUAGGGGCACUGAAGCAGAGGGUGCAGGCGAUGUGGAUGUCUAUACCGUGGCGGUGACGAUGUCAGUAGACCAUAAACAAUACUCCAGAUAUGUGCCAACCGCGUGUGGCUGCAAUUGCAAUCCUUGCAAUCCAAAGCCAAGCAUCAUUGAGUCAUUGUGGUGAAGAAGAGGACGAGGGGAAAUCACCGGAGAAGCCUAAGGUUACGAGCGAGGUGAGGUAGCCUCAGGUAACGAAUGAGGUGGGGAAGCUACAGGUGAUGACGGACUAGUGUCUACAAGAUUAGUACUAGAAGACACAGUGGGAUGGGUGGAGGAGGACAAUACAUGGGUGAUGGGUGUAUCGGGAGAUAUUGGGAAAGAAAUUUAACUCAUAAAGUAUGAGAGGGUCAUUAGGCAGCCUUGUUGCUCCCAUGAAAUUAUUCAUUGAAAGCGACCCGCGGCUAUUGUAGCUAGAGAAAAAAUCGGGACGAAUCGAUCCCCACCUGGACACAAUGGGAUGGGUGGAGGAGGACAAUACAUGGGUGAUGGGUGUAUCGGGAAAAAUGAGGAAAGAAAUUUAACUCAUAAAGAGUAUGAGAGGGUCAUUAGGCAGCCUUGUUGCUCCCGUGAAAUUAUUCAUUGAAAGCGACCCGCGGCUAUUGUAGCUAGAGAAAAAAUUGGGACGAAUCGAUCCCCACCUGGACAUGAGCCCAGGGGCCGACUCCACUCCUCAUUGCCCUGGACCAUGACCUAACCCGGGUUUCCCCUAGGACCCUCCUUCCAUCUUGCCCCCGCCGCUUCCUCUCUUCUCCCUUGCACCGCCCAUCUCUGGCGCCUCUCCCAUGCCCUUGCCCUCAUUGUCGUGAGCUCUGCCGUUCGCUGCCCCGAGCUCUGCCCUUUUCUUCUUGCGGGGCUGCCGGUGUAGCUCCUCCUCCCACGCGGCCUCCACCGACAUUAUUUCUUCCUGAGCUCGACCUUGUCCAUGGCUGCAAGCCACCACGGACUCCUUCCGCUUCUUCCAGACGGCCAACACGUUUGUGCGCGAUUAGCUCGCAUUUUCAUGGCCUCCAACUGCACAGGUGAGUCCCAAACCGUCUCUCUUUCUCUCCCUGCUCCCUGCAUUUUGUGGAAUCAGGAGCGGAAGAAGCAGCGAGCGAGUUGGUGGCAGCUCCGGGUGGCUUCGUGUGACUGCUGCGCUGAUUGUGGCUUCGUCAGCCGGCGGCAGGGUUGCGGCCUGUAUCGUGCAGCUAAGGUGUCGAGCGACAGCUAGGGUUUUCGGUGGCGGGCAGCAAUAGAAGUUCAUCUGACCUUCGUUCUCCUGCAGCAUGGUUCAAAUCAAUUAAAGACCUGAGAUUCAGUUGUAGAAGCUGCAGACAACCAGCACCGGCGAGGCACAGAAGAAGUUUCCACGGUCAGGUCUACAUUGAGGCAAGGCCAUGUCAAGGACACCACGGCCAUCGAAAACGACUGCCAAUAAGUUUGUACCUUUGAACACGUGCAGGUUCCAUCCAACCUGUAUGGGAAUGAUCAUUGAGCAGGCCAAAAAGUUACAUAAUUUCCUGUGCUCGGAUUGUGCUAAAGAAAACGACACAAAGAGACCUUCAAAUUCAUAUACCAGAGUUCACCAAGUUCUGAUUCUAAAGCCAGUGAUUUAAGUCCCUUUUCUUGACUGUACAGUUUAUCGAUAUUCUGCUUGCGGAUAGCUAUAUGCCUUUAUCUUAUCUUUUUAAAUUUAGUUUCAAGAAUUUCAUUUCCAAAGCUGGUGGUUCAUGCCUUUGUUUUUUCAGUAUUCCUCGGAAAAUGUUUGGUGUUUGACUAAGCAAGUACUCAUGUGUAGUUAAAAUUUCCUGUCAUGAGGUGGUGUUCAUUACUAGGUUCAAAGUAUGCUCAGAUUAUCUUCCAAAUCAUGAUGAUGAUGGCUUUUUCUAUCAGCCUGCCCUUAGGUACACUGGAGAUGCAGUUCAAUCUCAUUGUUAAGUUUAGACAUAUAAUUAUGUGUCUUGAAUUCUUUUUAUUUUAUAUUUUUAUAUGAAAUAAAUCAUCUGUAGCAUACUUGGUUUCCCAUAUUGUUUUUAAUUAUGGAUUUAGGCUGCGUUCGGUUUGUAGGAUUUUCGCAGGAAUCUAGAAGGAAUACUGUUCAUGGAGGUUUAUUUUCCUUUGUGGUGUUCGGAAUGCAGGGAUCACCUAGAGUAAUUUAAAGUAAACCGGCCUUCCGAUGCUGAUUCCAGAGGAAAUGAAACAUCUGCCUGGAGCUCAUUUUUUCGCGGAAGACCGAGGCGAGGUGCCUUAUGCCUUGGCAGUUAGCAUAGAGACCUAGUUAAAAUAAGCUGAUGUGUCGAUGCAUGUAGGACUACAUAUUAUUGAGAUAUUAGUUCUUCUUGCUGUGGUGGUUCCCUGCAGUUUGCCAUCACAACUACUUGCACAAGAGGCGUUUCUACUCCUAUGUGGUUUGCUUGAUUUGUGUAUGACUGAGCAUCUUUCCUAAUUUAGCUCAUUAUAGUUUCACUGAAGACUGACAGACAUCUUCGAGACCAACAGGACAAAAAAGAAUGAAAAUCAUCAUCCAUUAAGGUGUUUUAUUCAAAUUCCACAAUCGGCGAUCACACACAGAACAGAGAGUUCGUACUUUUCUUUUUGGUCCAUGAUGACGUGUGUGUCCGUAAUGAAACAGAGGACUGGAAUUGAUAAUAAACUGGUUUAGCAGUAAUUAUCU